UUUGAUGGCGACCGGCGCACGGGUGAGUAACACGUAUCCAACCUGCCGAUGACUCGGGGAUAGCCUUUCGAAAGAAAGAUUAAUACCCGAUGGCAUAGUUCUUCCGCAUGGUAGAACUAUUAAAGAAUUUCGGCCAUCGAUGGGGAUGCGUUCCAUUAGGUUGUUGGCGGGGUAACGGCCCACCAAGCCUUCGAUGGAUAGGGGUUCUGAGAGGAAGGUCCCCCACAUUGGAACUGAGACACGGUCCAA
rnacentral:rRNA from 1 species